UGGCAAUGAUGAUACAAAGGCCGGUCUUACGGCUGCCAUUUACUUACUUGGUAGUAGAUUGACGAAUUUUAUUUCGUGAAAGUGUGUUUUCUGAGCCAG
rnacentral:snoRNA from 1 species